GGCGAACCUAACGUCAUUGUCCUUCAUAGAUGACAGGAAGGAAGGUUGGAUAUGACGUCAAAUUUUUCUGCUCAUUUCUUGUUCCUGCGGUUUCGAAACCCGCCCUUCUCUGGCCAACUCUGCUCUGUAGAUCACGUGUUCCGACAUGUUCGGUUCUUAGGGUUGGACGUCACCCUGUCUGCGGCAACGGGUUGGGCAAGACAAGAACAGUGUUGAUGAGCAAACAUUGCAACAAAUCUGGUUAAAACCCUAUUGGAAACAUGAUUUCAGAGAUGUCACAUCAGGAAACAAUGGUGUUUAUGAGACUUAAUUGAUACCACGCAGUUUAAUAGCAUUUUGGAAACCUGAAAUCAGAGUUUAAAAAUCAGGGAACAACUGUGUUAAUGAUUCUUCAUUGCUGCUACACAGGAUAAAAUAUAUAUAAAAAAUCACUAAGCUUUCAGGAAUGUAGAGGCAACACCAGUGUUGAUGAACCUACAAUUCUUCCACUCAGGGAAACAUCAGGGUUGAUGAGCUUUCAUUUUUCCCAGUCAGGUUAACACAUUGUUGGAAGCAUGAAUUCUGAGAUUUUGCAUCAGGUAAUGUACAGUGCUGUAUGUAGUUCCAAGUCAUUGUAAGUUGUCAUUAUUGGUGUGACCUUUUAUUCUUACAGGGAACAUCAGUGUUGAUGAGCUUUCAUUUUUCCCAGUCAGGUUAACACAUUGUUGGAAGCAUGAAUUCUGAGAUUUUGCAUCAGGUAAUGUACAGUGCUGUAUGUAGUUCCAAGUCAUUGUAAGUUGUCAUUAUUGGUGUGACCUUUUAUUCUUACAGGGAACAUCAGUGUUGAUGAGCUUUCAUUUCUCCCAGUCUGGUUAACACAUUGUUGGAAGCAUAAAUUCAAAGAUGUCGAAUCAGGCAACACGACCAAGGCAGACUGUCCAGUGGCCUACGUGAAGAAAGGUUAAGUGGGGAGCAUCAGUUCAGUGACAUGAAGGAAAGGGGACG